UCUUUUUUUUUGGAUAAAAAAAGGUACCAAGGUUCGUUGGUGAACAGCGGAAGGGAUCAUUACCGAGUCUACGCAACUCCCAAAACCCAACCCGAACGGUGAUAGUUCAACAGUGUGGGGGCGGACCGUCGCGGGGGGCCUUUUUCCCAGUUAAUAUUUUUUCCCCUCCCUCUGCGCGGCCCGGCCAUCUCCCCGAAAACUCUACAAAAAGGAAAAAAGAAAAUAACUAAAGUUACAACUUUCAGCAAUGGAUCUCUUGGCUCUGGGCAUCGAUGGAAGAAUCGCAGCGAAAUGCUGAUACGUCAAUGCGGAAUUGCCAGAUUUCCAGCGAGUCAUCGAAUCUUUGAUACGCACCAUUGCGCCCGCCGGCACUCCGGCGGGCAUGCCUGUCCGAGCGUCACUUAGAUCCUCCUCAGGGCCGCCCCGCGCGGCCCGGUGUUGGGGCACCGCGGGAACCUUAACCUAAUCCCCCGCGGGCCCCCAAAUGACAGCGGCGCGAGCGACCCGCUACCCCCCCAGCGCAGCGGUGAAACCUCGCUGGCAGGCGGAGCAGGAGCCGCACGCCCACAAGCAAGCAUUUUUUCGAAGCUUGACCUCAGGAUCAGGUAGGACUACCCGCUGAACUUAAGCAUAUCAAUAAGCGGAGGAAAAGAAACCAACAGGGAUUGCCUCAGUAGCGGCGAGCGAAGCGGCAACAGCUCAGAUUUGAAAUCUGGCCCUCGGGCCCGAGUUGUAAUCUUGAGAGGAUGCUUCUGGCGACGCGCCCCGCCCAAGUCCCCUGGAACGGGGCGCCGUAGAGGGUGAGUAGCCCCGUACCGGCGGGAUGCCGAGCCUGUGUGAAGCUCCUUCGAAGAAUCGGGUAGUUUGGGAAUGCAUGCCCUAAGCAGGAGGUAAAUUCCUUCUAAAGCUAAAUACCGGCCAGAGACCGAUAGCGCACAAGUAGAGUGAUCGAAAGAUGAAAAAGCACCUCGGUAAGAGGGUCAAAUAGUACCAGAAAAUGCUGAAAGGGAAAGGGCCUGCUUCCAGAUCUUCUUCCCGGCGGAUCAUCCGUUCGUUCUUUGCACGGUCCACUCCGCGCCGAGCGUGGGCCAACAUACAGUUUUCGCGGGGGGCAAACGGUCUGUGAAACGUGGGCUCCCCACUCGUUGUUUUUAAGGAUUCCCUUGCCUAAUACCACCCGUCCGGCCGAAAAAGGACGCCCCCCUGGGAAAGAUGAGGCUGAAUGUUUCGAGGCCUUUUUUAAACCGAAAAAA
rnacentral:rRNA from 1 species